GACGAACGCUGGCGGCGUGCUUAACACAUGCAAGUCGAACGGAAAGGCCUUUUCGGCGGUACUCGAGUGGCGAACGGGUGAGUAACACGUGGGUGAUCUGCCCUGCACUCUGGGAUAAGCCUGGGAAACUGGGUCUAAUACCGGAUAGGACCGCACUUUAGUGUGUGUGGUGGAAAGUUUUUUCGGUGUAGGAUGAGCCCGCGGCCUAUCAGCUUGUUGGUGGGGUAAUGGCCUACCAAGGCGGCGACGGGUAGCCGGACUGAGAGGUUGGUCGGCCACAUUGGGACUGAGAUACGGCCCAGACUCCUACGGGAGGAAGCAGUGGGGAAUAUUGCACAAUGGGCGCAAGCCUGAUGCAGCGACGCCGCGUGGGGGAUGACGGCCUUCGGGUUGUAAACUCCCUUCGCCAGGGACGAAGCGUUUUGUGACGGUACCUGGAGAAGAAGCACCGGCUAACUACGUG
rnacentral:rRNA from 1 species